AUUGAACGCUGGCGGCAGGCCUAACACAUGCAAGUCGAACGGUAACAGGAAGAAGCUUGCUUCUUUGCUGACGAGUGGCGGACGGGUGAGUAAUGUCUGGGAAACUGCCUGAUGGAGGGGGAUAACUACUGGAAACGGUAGCUAAUACCGCAUAACGUCGCAAGACCAAAGAGGGGGACCUUCGGGCCUCUUGCCAUCGGAUGUGCCCAGAUGGGAUUAGCUAGUAGGUGGGGUAACGGCUCACCUAGGCGACGAUCCCUAGCUGGUCUGAGAGGAUGACCAGCCACACUGGAACUGAGACACGGUCCAGACUCCUGAGGGAGGCAGCAGUGGGGAAUGUUGCACAAUGGGCGCAAGCCUGAUGCAGCCAUGCCGCGUGUAUGAAGAAGGCCUUCGGGUUGUAAAGUACUUUCAGCGGGGAGGAAGGGAGUAAAGUUAAUACCUUUACUCAUUGACGUUACCCGCAGAAGAAGCACCGGCUAACUCCGUG
rnacentral:rRNA from 1 species